GAAAUAUUUCUAAGAGCUGCAUGGAUGGCUGGCAAUUUAGUGGGUUGAACGGGUCAAAAGUGACCUGUAGUGUGGGUCAGAUUCACAAAAUUGUGUUAAAAGCUGCCUUUUUUUUCUGGUGCUCAAUCAACCGACUCAAGUUAUUUGCUUUCCACCGCUAAUUUAUCCUUCUAAUCAAAGCAUUUAUUUUACAACAGAAGGAAGAUGGCGUAAAAAAUAGAACCGAAGAACCACACAAGGUUGAAUCAAAGUUGUCUUCAAGAUAGCAGUCCUUCGGCGCACAUUUUUUGUAGCGGCGUACAAAAAGUUGCGCAAGUUAGGCUUAAACCACAUGCUAAAAGCUUAAAACAUAUAAACCAAAAAUCUUACCUUAAUGUUCAUCAUGAUAGAGUUUUAACUGUAUAACUCCUAGUUUAUCAUUCCACACGAAAAAGGGCAAUUACAAAGCAAUGGCAGGUAGUCGGGCAACAAGUUGCGCCGCCACCCCCUUUUGAAUAGAAAAACCAAUUCUACUAAAUACAAAGUUUGAAACCUUUAGCGACGAAGAAUUACUAUUAACGACUUUUUGAACCCGAUUCAAAAGUCGCACAGUGUCAGGAGCGAGACCACCAAAGGUAUCAAACGCAAACGGGACAAACACAUGUUGAUUCUCCAUUGUGUGUUACCUCAAUGUUUAAUACUAUGUCAAUGUGUUGCCUUGCAAAUUAGUAACAUGUAUUGAAACAUGGCAACUUUUGUGAUCCACAUGUGAGCUGAGGUUUCGGCCACCAAUAGUUCGAUCCACAGGUUCUUGAAAUUCCGAUGACAAGACGAAGAAGCUUGACCUCGAGGAUUGACGUCUAAAUUUGCCUGAUGGGUACAUAUCAAAACACCGUCCGAGUUAGUACGUUAUGGGUCAAGUUUGGAUCUUGACUCACAAUCCUACAAGCUUAAUGCAAGGAAAACAGAUGAUGAUUUAGAGUUCUUUAUUGAUAAUAAAGAUCUAUGCAAUCUGGUACAUAUGAAAGUGGAAAGAAACGAAAAGAAACACAUGUUGGAAAGAAGAAAGAUGGAGUCAAGUUUUAAAGAUACAACCUUGUUGACCAUUCGGGGUCAAAAUCUGGCAAAAAACUGGUUUGUUGGAGAAAGGUGAUACAACCGCACUGAGGUAUCGUCGAUUCGCUAUCAGAACCGAGUCGACUAACAGCGCCGUGCCUCACAACUAUGACUUCUACUUGUUAACAAUCGGCGUCCGUGGUGGCGGCGUUAGAGCUUCUCGUUUUACCGCCAAUUUGGGGGCUUCAGUUGCUGUUUGCGAGCUUCUGUUUGGUGUAGGCGUAGGCAAAACGUAAGUUUCUAAUAAAAUUUUGUUAUAGCUAGUGUUGUUACAAUCACAGUGGUUUUGAUACUAGAUUUAUUAGGUUUAUGAUGCUUAAAAAGCAUUGUUAGCGGGUUACUAUGAUAUUUAUUGUGUUUCUAUCAAUUAGGUUUAUGAUGCUUAAAAAGUAUUGUAAUCUAGUUACUAUGAUAUUUAUUGUGUUCCUGUCAACGAGUAAAGACUGUGUUGGG
rnacentral:lncRNA from 1 species